UACGAAGGGGGCUAGCGUUGCUCGGAAUCACUGGGCGUAAAGCGCACGUAGGCGGAUUUUAAGUCAGGGGUGAAAUCCUGGAGCUCAACUCCAGAACUGCCUUUGAUACUGGGAAUCUCGAGUCCGGGAGAGGUGAGUGGAACUCCGAGUGUAGAGGUGAAAUUCGUAGAUAUUCGGAAGAACACCAGUGGCGGAAGGCGGCUCACUGGCCCGGUACGUGGACGCUGAGGUGCGAAAGCGUGGGGAGCAACAGG
rnacentral:rRNA from 1 species